GCAACGAGCGCAACCCUUGUCCGCUGUUGCCAUCAGGUUAUGCUGGGCACUCUGCGGAGACUGCCGGUGAUAAACCGGAGGAAGGUGGGGAUGACGUCAAGUCAGCAUGGCCUUUAUGUCUGGGGCUACACACGUGCUACAAUGGCCGGUACAAACCGUCGCGAUCUCGCAAGAGGGAGCUAAUCGGAGAAAGCCGGUCUCAGUUCGGAUUGCAGGCUCCAACUCGCCUGCAUGAAGUUGGAAUCGCUAGUAAUCGCGGAUCAGCACGCCGCGGUGAAUACGUUCCCG
rnacentral:rRNA from 1 species